rnacentral:rRNA from 1 species
UACGUAGGGGGCUAGCGUUGUCCGGAUUUAUUGGGCGUAAAGAGCGUGUAGGCGGCCAGGUAGGUCUGCUGUGAAAACUCGAGGCUCAACCUCGAGACGUCGGCGGAAACCAUCUGGCUAGAGUCCGGAAGAGGAGAGUGGAAUUCCUGGUGUAGCGGUGAAAUGCGUAGAUAUUGGGAGGAACACCAGUGGCGAAGGCGGCUCACUGGCCCGGUACUGACGCUGAGGUGCGAAAGCGUGGGGAGCAAACAGGG